GUGAGGAAUAUUGCGCAAUGGAGGCAACUCUGACGCAGCCAUGCCGCGUGCAGGAAGAAGGCGCUACGCGUUGUAAACUGCUUUUAACCGGGAAGAAACCCCAGGACGUGUCCUGGGUUGACGGUACCGGAGGAAUAAGCACCGGCUAACUUCGUGCCAGCAGCCGCGGUAAUACGAAGGGUGCAAGCGUUAUCCGGAUUCAUUGGGUUUAAAGGGUGCGUAGGCGGAGCGUUAAGUCAGUGGUGAAAUCCUGCAGCUUAACUGUAGACUUGCCAUUGAUACUGGCGCUCUUGAGUGCGCUUGAAGUGGGCGGAAUGUGCCGUGUAGCGGUGAAAUGCUUAGAUAUGGCACAGAACACCAAUUGCGAAGGCAGCUCACUAAGGCGAUACUGAUGCUGAGGCACGAAAGCGUGGGGAUCGAACAGGAUUAGAUACCCUUGUAGUCC
rnacentral:rRNA from 1 species